CCUACGGGAGGCAGCAGUGAGGAAUAUUGGUCAAUGGCCGGAAGGCUGAACCAGCCAUGCCGCGUGAAGGUCAGUGCCCUAUGGGCGUUAAACUUCUUUUGUGCGGGAGCAAUAAUGGUCACGUGUGGCCAGACGAGAGUACCGUACGAAUAAGCAUCGGCUAACUCCGUGCCAGCAGCCGCGGUAAAACGGGGGAUGCAAGCGUUAUCCGGAUUUAUUGGGUUUAAGGGGUGCGUAGGCUGUGAGGUAAGUCAGCGGUGAAAUGCCCCCACUCAACGGGGUGAAGUGCAAUUGAUACUGCCUGGCUGGAAUGCGGAUGCCGUGGGAGGAAUGUGUGGUGUAGCGGUGAAAUGCAUAGAUAUCACACAGAACACCGAUUGCGAAGGCAUCUCACGAAUCCGCGAUUGACGCUGAUGCACGAAAGCGUGGGUAUCAAACAGGAUUAGAUACCCCAGUAGUC
rnacentral:rRNA from 1 species